rnacentral:rRNA from 1 species
UACGUAGGAGGCAAGCGUUAUUCGGAUUUACUGGGCGUAAAGCGCGUGCAGGCGGUUUGGAAAGUUGGAUGUGAAAGCUCCUGGCUCAACUGGGAGAGGUCGUUCAAAACUUCCAGACUUGAGAGUGGUAGAGGGAGGUGGAAUUCCGGGUGUAGUGGUGAAAUGCGUAGAUAUCCGGAGGAACACCAGUGGCGAAAGCGGCCUCCUGGACCACUUCUGACGCUCAGACGCGAAAGCUAGGGUAGCAAACGGG